GAUGAACGCUGGCGGCGUGCCUAACACAUGCAAGUCGAACGGGGUAGAUUCCUUCGGGGGUCUACUUAGUGGCGAACGGGUGAGUAACGCGUGAGAAACCUGCCUCUCAGUGGGGGACAACAGUUGGAAACGACUGCUAAUACCGCAUAAUGUUUUCGAGGGGCAUCCCUUGAAAACCAAAGCUUUAUGUGCUGGAAGAUGGUCUCGCGUCUGAUUAGCUAGUUGGUGAGGUAACGGCUCACCAAGGCGACGAUCAGUAGCCGGUCUGAGAGGAUGAACGGCCACAUUGGGACUGAGAUACGGCCCAGACUCCUACGGGAGGCAGCAGUGGGGAAUAUUGGGCAAUGGGGGAAACCCUGACCCAGCAACGCCGCGUGAAGGAAGAAGGCCUCGGUGUAAC
rnacentral:rRNA from 1 species